GGAGGAAAAGAAACCAACAGGGAUUGCCUCAGUAGCGGCGAGUGAAGCGGCAAAAGCUCAAAUUUGAAAUCUGGCGUCUUUGGCGUCCGAGUUGUAAUUUGAAGAAGGUAUCUUUGGGCCCGGCUCUUGUCUAUGUUCCUUGGAACAGGACGUCACAGAGGGUGAGAAUCCCGUGCGAUGAGAUGACCCGGGUCUGUGUAAAGUUCCUUCGACGAGUCGAGUUGUUUGGGAAUGCAGCUCUAAGUGGGUGGUAAAUUCCAUCUAAAGCUAAAUAUUGGCGAGAGACCGAUAGCGAACAAGUACAGUGAUGGAAAGAUGAAAAGAACUUUGAAAAGAGAGUGAAAAAGUACGUGAAAUUGUUGAAAGGGAAGGGCUUGAGAUCAGACUUGGUAUUUUGCAUGCUGCUCUCUCGGGGGCGGCCGCUGCGGUUUACCGGGCCAGCAUCGGUUUGGAGCGGCAGGAUAAUGGCGGAGGAAUGUGGCACGGCUUCUGCUGUGUGUUAUAGCCUCUGACGAUACUGCCAGCCUAGACCGAGGACUGCG
rnacentral:rRNA from 1 species